AGAGAGGCCCAAGUGAGAUUAGCUAGUUGGUAAGGUAAAGGCUUACCAAGGCAACGAUCUCUAGCUGUUCUGAGAGGAAGAUCAGCCACACUGGAACUGAGACACGGUCCAGACUCCUACGGGAGGCAGCAGUGGGGAAUAUUGCACAAUGGGGGAAACCCUGAUGCAUCCAUGCCGCGUGUGUGAAGAAGGCCUUCGGGUUGUAAAGCACUUUCAGUUGUGAGGAAAAGUUAGUAGUUAAUACCUGCUAGCCGUGACGUUACUACUGAAGAACACCGGCUAACUCCGUGCCA
rnacentral:rRNA from 1 species